GAGGAUAUAGCUCAGUGGUAGAGUGUGUGCAUAGCAUGCACAAGGUUCUGGGUUCAAUUCCCAGUACUUCCA
rnacentral:tRNA from 1 species